rnacentral:tRNA from 1 species
UCUAAAAUGGCAGAUUUAUGCAUUGGAUUUAAACCCCAAGUAAAAAGAUUUUUAAUCUUUUUUUAGAA